AACGAACGCUGGCGGCAGGCUUAACACAUGCAAGUCGAGCGCCCCGCAAGGGGAGCGGCAGACGGGUGAGUAACGCGUGGGAACGUACCUUUUGGUUCGGAACAACUCCGGGAAACUGGAGCUAAUACCGGAUAAGCCCUAACGGGGAAAGAUUUAUCGCCGAAAGAUCGGCCCGCGUCUGAUUAGCUUGUUGGUGAGGUAACGGCUCACCAAGGCGACGAUCAGUAGCUGGUCUGAGAGGAUGAUCAGCCACACUGGGACUGAGACACGGCCCAGACUCCUACGGGAGGCAGCAGUGGGGAAUAUUGGACAAUGGGCGCAAGCCUGAUCCAGCCAUGCCGCGUGAGUGAUGAAGGCCUUAGGGUUGUAAAGCUCUUUUGUCCGGGAAGAUAAUGACUGUACCGGAAGAAUAAGCCCCGGCUAACUUCGUG
rnacentral:rRNA from 1 species